rnacentral:misc_RNA from 1 species
GAUGAAUAACGUAGCGAAAUGCGAUACGUAAUGUGAAUUGCAGAAUUCAGUGAAUCAUCGAAUCUUUGAACGCAUAUUGCGCUCUCUGGUAUUCCGGAGAGCAUGCUUGUUUGAGUAUCAGUAAACACCUCAACUUCCAUAUCUUUUUUGAAAUGGGAGUUGGACUUGAGUGAUCCCAACGCUUUUCCUCACCGAAAAGUGGCGGGUUACUUGAAAUGCAGGUGCAGCUGGACUUUUCUCUGAGCUAUAAGCAUAUCUAUUUAGUCUGCCUAAAAAACAGAUUAUUACCUUUGCUGCAGCUAACAUAAAGGAGAUUAGUUCUUGUGCUGACUGAUGCAGGAUUCACAAAGACGGCUUCGGCCGACUUUGUAAACUCGAUCUCAAAUCAAGUAAGACUACCCGCUGAACUUAAGCAUAUCAAUAAGCGGAGGA